CUCAACCUACGGGGCGCAGCAGUGGGGAAUAUUGCACAAUGGGGGGAACCCUGAUGCAACGACGCCGCGUGAGUGAAGAAGUAUUUCGGUAUGUAAAGCUCUAUCAGCAGGGAAGAAGAUGACGGUACCUGACUAAGAAGCCCCGGCUAACUACGUGCCAGCAGCCGCGGUAAUACGUGGGGGGCAAGCGUUAUCCGGAUUUGCUGGGUGUAAAGGGAGCGUAGACGGCAGGGCAAGUCUGGAGUGAAAGCCCGGGGCCCAACCCCGGGACUGCUUUGGAAACUGCCAUGCUGGAGUGCUGGAGG
rnacentral:rRNA from 1 species